GAUAUUGAUGAUUUGAAGUUUGAUAACUUUUUCUCAUCUCUACUUGAAAUGGAAGACCUUAAGAAGAAGGACAAAAGCAACUUUGAGAUGGACCUGGACAAAUUUUUGAUACCGAAGAAUAACUCCCAUGUUGAUCCUACACGAAAAACAAAUAUUUUUAUUUCAGAACCGAGUCUGUCCUCCAUAGUUGUUUCUGAU